UGUGUCGGCGGUUGCAAUUCGUAAAGGCGGUGAACCUAACCUCCCUUUGCGAGAGAUUCUCACGCAGCGUCGGUUCCGUCGCACAAUAUUGUGUAGCGAUUUCGCACUAUUUUCACACGCGAAUCGUCCUCGUCGCGCAUCUACGGUGGGAUCGAUAUGAAACAUCCGUCUAUAGCGUGCCAGCGAACGAGCGUACUGACCGCCCUCCUCGAUCAGGAAAAAGUAGUUUACAAUUUUAUAUUUGCUUUCACAAAACAGAAAAAACACCAUUCGUCUGUAUGCUCUUUAUUACAUACGGGACUAGCAGCAUAUAUGCGAUCACACGCAUAAAAAUCUGACUCGAAAUACGUUUUCUCAUCGUCAAGUAUCUUUGUUUCAUUUCCAUCGACACUUUUACAAACAUGUCGAUCCUAAAUAUUUAAUCUAUCCCCAGUAUUACGUGUGGAAAUGUACACAUAUUUACAAGAGUACAAAACUUCUGAAUUCCACUCAUCACAAAGCUCAUCUAUAAAGCAUCGACAUAAAAAUAUUUUUAUCGAUAGUUCCAAAGGAUUUACUUCCGCAAUGAAUUUCUCCGAUAUUCUUCGCCAUUGACGGCUGGCUUUUCUCAUCACAGUGACCGUGAUAAUAUGGAAUUCGACAGACCAGCGAUUGUAAUGCCUUUCACAAAUGAUUCAUGAAUUGGACCGAUCAAACUGUUGCUUGUUAAAACAUUGACGAAGGAAAAGAAAAUAAAAAGAAGGUGGAUAUUUGGAAAGCUUUACACACGCAUUGGCCACGAAUACAGGGCAUUCUCUCGUCAAGAGGAGAGAAGAUAAAGUCGGAAUCGGAGACUAUCUAAUUGUGAUUGAUGGAAAGAAAAUGCUCUGUUCGAUUCAUUACGCAUUAUUGAUGCCUGAUAUUGCUGUUCUUUAAUCCCGUCGAAUUUCGUUGAAUCCGAUCAACGGUAUAUCAUUCGCAACAACCGCGGCGGACCGGACACGAGAUUCCGUUACAUGUUUCGCAUCGAGCACAACCGUUUGGGAUUCUCCGUGCUACGAGAGAUUAGCUAAAAUGGAUAAAUAACUAGCAGAUACUACGAUAUCACAUAUAUUUUAUAUUUAAUCAAUAAUAAUGACAAACUUUCUAUUUGUAAUCCUGUAGUCACAUAACUUAAAUUGAACGCCGCCAAUCGAGCAUGCCACACCCCAUGUACCUUCUUCGAUUUUCCUACCUCUCUUUCACAUGAAAUCCCGAAAAGCGCAACGUGGGUCUUCUCUCUCUCCCCUCCCCUUUUCUUGUCUCUCUCUCCUCUCUCUCCCUUUCUCUCUCUUUCUCUAUCUCAACGAGAAUAAUAAUAAUCGAAUAUAUGUAUAGCGAAAAACCAUAUGAUUGAAUAUACAGAUAUGUGUGUAUGCGCGCGCUUGUAUGUGUAUGAUGUACAUUUGUUAUAAAUAAUAAUUCGCUUUCACUUAAUUGCAAUCAUAUCAAUUAUAACCUGUUCUCUUAUUAUUUCAUACGUCAGAUCAGUUGAUCUUUCUUGCUUUUUUAUGCUUUCAACUACGAUUGCGUCGCUGAGCGAUGCCUCGCAUUUCGCUACAUUUCUUAAAAAGAGAAAAUAAUUUGCUAUAAAAUUUCGGAUAAUAUUCUAUAUUUAUGACAAUUCUAUAUGUCGUACGAUUUAGAGACCAAGUAUAUUAUUAAAUGUACACACACACAAUUGUCGCAAAUUAUAAAUCAUCUGAAUUGGACUUUAAGACUUGACACGAACGUUGCUCAGGCAGCUGUGCAUGCGUCGUUGGCGGGCGCAAGAACGGGCCGCAAGUUCGCUGACCGACGGAUAGUAGCGGAGGGAACGAAAGAGCUCGCGAGAGAGGCUGUGGAGUAGACCGUGACCGUGACCGUGACCGUGGCCGAGUUGUUGCGAUCGCAAUAGACAUUAUACCGGCGCGACGAAGGCGGCGACAGUACCGAAUAUAUAUAUUCGCAUAGCAAGCUAUGGUCUCAACAAGCGCACGCGCGAACGAUUACAGAUAGCAACAGAUAUAUCUACGUAUAAAUACGUACUGUUAGAAACACUUAGACACUUGAAAUUCGUUGCUACUCUCCCCCCCCCCUCUCUCGUCUAUAUUUACUACAUAAUUUUUAAAAAAAUUACAUAUCUGCCAGAGAUUACAUCUUCUCAUCAAGUAUCUCCAAAAUAUUACAAAAAUAAAUAUUGUUUUAGAAAAAUAAUAGA